GUUGAACGCUGGCGGCAGGCUUAACACAUGCAAGUCGAGCGGGGUGAGGUGCUUCGGUACUGAUCCUAGCGGCGGACGGGUGAGUAAUGCUUAGGAAUCUGCCAUUUAGUGGGGGACAACAUUCCGAAAGGAAUGCUAAUACCGCAUACGUCCUACGGGAGAAAGCAGGGGAUCUUCGGACCUUGCGCUAAAUGAUGAGCCUAAGCCGGAUUAGCUAGUUGGUGGGGUAAAGGCCUACCAAGGCGACGAUCUGUAGCGGGUCUGAGAGGAUGAUCCGCCACACUGGGACUGAGACACGGCCGAGACUCCUACGGGAGGCAGCAGUGGGGAAGAUUGGACAAUGGGCGGAAGCCUGAUCCAGCCAUGCCGCGUGUGUGAAGAAGGCCUUUUGGUUGUAAAGCACCUUAAGCGAGGAGGAGGCUACCUGGAUUAAUACUCUGGGAUAGUGGACGUUACUCGCAGAAUAAGCACCGGCUAACUCUGUGCCAGCCGCCGCCGUAAUAC
rnacentral:rRNA from 1 species